UCGCUUGGGCAGCAGCUACAUUAAAAUAGAAAGAAUACAGAGAAGAUCAGCGUGGCCCCUGCGCGGGGAUUACACGCAAAUCCAUACAGCCUUUUUUU
rnacentral:snRNA from 1 species